AUGCAGCUGACGAGUCCCAAGUAGGACGAAACACGCGUCCUGGAU
rnacentral:hammerhead_ribozyme from 1 species